rfam:Monodelphis domestica cont3.020032, whole genome shotgun sequence.
CUACAACACAGUAACCAGGAAAGCACAAUUCUCUCAGCCACAAAGUAUUUCUUCCUCUAGGGCUAUAUUUUUCAAUUAUGACUUGCUGUCAUCAUCAUCUCCUUCUACAUCUGUGUUGAUCAAGCACUUAGCCAUGUUACUCUCUUCUUGAAUUACUGGAAGAGUUGAGACCGCACACAAUGAGGAUAAUUCUAGAAAGACUUAAGG